CUUACUUAGGAGAAUUUCAGGAGCCUCCCAAGAACUUUCAAGAAGCGUGUUGACUCGCGAGGGUGGGGAGGGUCCGAAGCUCCCGGGAACCCCCGAGGACUGGAUGCUAAGCUGGGCGUUGGCGAAAACCUGGAUUAAGGAUCGCUGGGCCUGGGCGCGCGGAGAGUUAUCCCGCCCUUUCCCGAACCUCCUUUCCGAGUCUUCGCCCCAGCUCAGGCAGGGCGCAAACUGAAAGUGGAAAACCGCGGGGCUGCUGGCUGCCCUGCGAGCCUCCUGCUCCGGGACGAGGGGACAACCAGAAGCUCAUGACCAAUCUUGGGCUUGCUCGUGAUGUCACACUACAACUAGGGCUUGUUUCUGGUCCAUCCCGUGGUCUCUCAAAGGGAGGGCUUUUAGUUGGGUCCUGGCUAUCCGCAUUGAAUAAGCAACCCAGAAUUUUUGGAUGCCUUCUGGUUUGAAGACUCCAGCUGCUCUGAUGAUAGCUUAAGAAGACUGCAUGCUGUUCCCUCUCGAUGCCA